GAUGAACGCUGGCGGCGUGCCUAAUACAUGCAAGUCGAGCGAACAGACGAGGAGCUUGCUCCUCUGACGUUAGCGGCGGACGGGUGAGUAACACGUGGAUAACCUACCUAUAAGACUGGGAUAACUUCGGGAAACCGGAGCUAAUACCGGAUAAUAUAUUGAACCGCAUGGUUCAAUAGUGAAAGACGGUUUUGCUGUCACUUAUAGAUGGAUCCGCGCCGCAUUAGCUAGUUGGUAAGGUAACGGCUUACCAAGGCGACGAUGCGUAGCCGACCUGAGAGGGUGAUCGGCCACACUGGAACUGAGACACGGUCCAGACUCCUACGGGAGGCAGCAGUAGGGAAUCUUCCGCAAUGGGCGAAAGCCUGACGGAGCAACGCCGCGUGAGUGAUGAAGGUCUUCGGAUCGUAAAACGCUGUUAUUAGGGAAGAACAAAUGUGUAAGUAACUAUGCACGUCUUGACGGUACCGAAGCAGAAAGCCACGGCCAACUACGU
rnacentral:rRNA from 1 species